AUUACAACAGCUAUAAUUUACUUGAUCUUGACAAAUCCUACUUGGAUAACUGUGGUAAUUCUAGAGCUAAUACAUGCACCAAAGCUCUGACCUUACGGGAAGAGUGCAUUUAUUAGAACAAAACCAGGCGGCCUCCGGGUCGUUUUUUGUUGACUCAGAAUAACUAAGCUGAUCGCAUGGUCUCGUACCGGCGACGUGUCUUUCAAGUGUCUGCCUUAUCAACUUUCGAUGGUAGUGUAUGUGACUACCAUGGUUGUGACGGGUAACGGAGGAUAAGGGUUUGACUCCGGAGAAGGGGCCUGAGAAAUGGCCACUACGUCUAAGGAUGGCAGCAGGCGCGCAAAUUACCCACUCUCAGAAUGAGGAGGUAGUGACGAGAAAUAACGAGACCGUUCUCUUAGAGGCCGGUCAUCGGAAUGGGUACAAUCUAAACCCUUUAACGAGUAUCUAUGAGAGGGCAAGUCUGGUGCCAGCAGCCGCGGUAAUUCCAGCUCUCAAAAUGCAUAGAAUUAUUGCUGCGGUUAAAAAGCUCGUAGUUGGAUCUGUGCCGCAGGACUCGGUCUGCCUUCGGGCACGCACUGAGCUUCUCGGCUUUUCUGCUGGUUUUCCCGUUAUGGUCUUAACCGGCCGUAGCGGGUGGCUGGCGAUUUUACUUUGAACAAAUCAGAGUGCUCAACACAGGCGUUUCGCUUGAAUGUUCUUGCAUGGAAUAAUAGAAGAGGAUUUCGGUCCUAUUUUAUUGGUUUUAUAGGCUGAAAUAAUGGUUAAUAGAGACAAACGGGGGCAUUCGUAUCGCUGCGUGAGAGGUGAAAUUCUUGGACCGCAGCGAGACGAACUACAGCGAAAGCAUUUGCCAAGAAUGUCUUCAUUAAUCAAGAACGAAAGUCAGAGGUUCGAAGGCGAUCAGAUACCGCCCUAGUUCUGACCGUAAACGAUGUCAACUAGAGAUCCGCCGAUGGAAUAUUUGCCUUGGUGGGGAUCUUACCGGAAACGAAAGUUUUUAGAUUCCGGGGGAAGUAUGGCUGCAAAGCUGAAACUUAAAGGAAUUGACGGAAGGGCACCACCAGGAGUGGAGCCUGCGGCUUAAUUUGACUCAACACGGGAAAACUCACCCGGCCCGGACACCGUAAGGAUUGACAGAUUGAUAGCUCUUUCAUGAUUCGGUGGAUGGUGGUGCAUGGCCGUUCUUAGUUCGUGGAGCGAUUUGUCUGGUUUAUUCCGAUAACGAGCGAGACUCUAGCCUACUAAAUAGUCCGCCCAUUGUUUCUGUGUGGCGUGACUUCUUAGAGGGAUUUUCGGUGUACAGCCGCACGAAAUUGAGCAAUAACAGGUCUGUGAUGCCCUUAGAUGUCCGGGGCUGCACGCGCGCUACACUGGCGAAAUCAGCGUGCUUGUCCUUUCCCGAAAGGGAUUGGUAAACCAAUGAAAAUUCGCCGUGAUUGGGAUCGGAAAUUGCAAUUAUUUUCUGUGAACGAGGAAUUCCAAGUAAAUGCGAGUCAUCAACUCGCGUUGAUUACGUCCCUGCCCUUUGUACACACCGCCCGUCGCUGCCCGGGACUGGGCCAUUUCGAGAAAUUUGGGGAUUGCUGAUUAGCGAUUCUUACGGAUUGCUUUUUGGUGAGAACCAAUUUAAUCGCAGUGGCCUGAACCGGGCAAAAGUCGUAACAAGGUGGCUGUAGGUGAACCUGCUGCCGGAUCAUUAACGAUCAUACCAAUCCACUUUCAGUGGUUAUAUUAGUCCUCAAAGGUGGCAUGCUUCUGCCAUGCAGGCACAGAGUAGUUGUCCCGCUCUGUAUUUGUACUUGCGCAUUUGGGCUUGCACUUUGCGCUGUGUACUUGCGCUAUGUACUUGCUCUGUGUACUUGCUCUGUGUACUUGCGCUGUGUACUUGCUUUAGAGCUUGCAUUUGUGCUUGCAUUUGAGCUUGCAUUUGAGCUUGCAUUUGUGCUUGCAUUUGCGCUUGUGUUUGCUGGUGCGCUUGUGCCUGGCUAAUUUGUGGGCGAAAAACGGCUUUGUUGGCCUCUAAGUUUUCCUGAGCAGUUGUAUGCUUCUUUGUCCGUGGCUGUGAUGAAGGAAAACGGUACGUGGUUUUCGUAAUCGCGAGAGUUAAUGAGCACUGGCUUUGGUGCCGCCAACACAAAACCCCAAUUUUACAAAUU
rnacentral:rRNA from 1 species